rnacentral:rRNA from 1 species
UACGGGGGGGGCAAGCGUUGUUCGGAAUUACUGGGCGUAAAGGGCUCGUAGGCGGCCAACUAAGUCAUACGUGAAAUCCCUCGGCUUAACCGGGGAACUGCGUCUGAUACUGGAUGGCUUGAGUUCGGGAGAGGGAUGCGGAAUUCCAGGUGUAGCGGUGAAAUGCGUAGAUAUCUGGAGGAACACCGGUGGCGAAGGCGGCAUCCUGGACCGAUACUGACGCUGAGGAGCGAAAGCCGGGGAGCAAACGGG